UGAUGUACAUUUGGCAUCAUGGAUAUAAUUGUUCAGGAGGUUAAAACAUCUGGACCAGAUGUGAUAGAUGUAGUGAGGCUGUGGAGAGAGAAGUUAUCUGCAGUCAUCUGUAGCUCUAGCUGUUUGCUGUCUCCAGACCUGCUAGUUACAGCCUUAAAUUAACUGAUAGAUGUGUGUCGACAGAGUGUGGGCUUUAGCAGAGUAGAUUAGACACUGAGGACAAACUUUAGAGAAAUGUCUUCAUGCUCAGUGUGUUAUAAGAUGUUCUGAGAAGGUUAAGUUGAGAAUGCUGCAGGCUCCAAGUGUGGGUGGAGAUGUCAGGAAGGAGAGCUCAAAGGGGGAUAAAAGAAAAUACAGUAAUUUAAUUAAACCUCCCAGUGGGGUGGGUCGGUGAGAGGCCCGAAGUUGCCAAGGAGGACGGGUUGGUAUUAGCUCUAUCUCAUAGGAAAUUGUGUUUUUUCCAGGAAUUUACAGAGUAGGUGCACAGGGUGGGUGUUAAGGUUUGGAAAUGGGAGGCUGUUGUAUCACACUGUGAGGGAGUGUUUCCACAGGGCAGACAUGAGCUUGCGCAGCGACGGGAAAGAAUGCAUCACAAAUAUUAUGUUAUCUUAAUGCAUCUAUGUGAAUUUACAGAAGUGUGAACUCAACAAAUAAUAACAUCUCCACCAUGUGCAAAGCCAGCUCUCUGAAAAGAUCAAUUAUUCUCUCUUUGUUCACUCAUACAAAGUUGAAUUUCGUUAUGCCAGGUAAAGAAAAUCUUACAUUUAAUAAGAUAAAGAUUAGACAAUUUUACAUUGUCCUUGUUGCCAUUACAUUAAUAUAAAUUGCUCUCAGCAGAGAGAAGCAUGGGGUUGUCUCCACAUGCUCUAUAUUCUCUCCACGUUAGAGCUGCUAGACUAGACUACCUCAAUGUGAUAACGAUUAAACUCAGUUCUAUAUCACACCAGGCCAAGCAUUGCCAUCAACUGGUAAAGAAGCAGAGCAGGUGAGUAGCAUUUGCUAAGAGAGCUAUUCCAGGCCCAGCAGCCAGAGAUUAACCCUUUGCCUAGGAUAAUUACGUUAGAUCCCUUUAAUCCUAAACAAUUGAGCCGUGGCAGUGACGGUCCUUCAACGACAAGUUCCCUUAAAGAUGGAUCUGUUGGACCUUUGAUGCUGUCUUUGACUAAAAGUGAGGACCUGUUUGAGUGAAAUGUUGAAACUGAAUCAGAAAAGCAAUUUGGUAAAACCUAAUAUUUGGCAGUGGAAUUCCAAAUCAGAAUUUGUACAGUACGACAUUUUUGUUCAACUUAUCAGAGUCUUAUUAACUUAAUUUAUUCCAUUGAUUUAGUCAAGUAUGUUAACGAUGAUUGCUGUGGCAAUAACAGAAAAACAAUCACUAGUAAAGGACAAUAUUUCUCCAGCUAACACUUUAGCGGCCUCUAGUGGUCAUGGGAAUUACUAUAGAGUUCCUAUUUAUUCCACCAGAGGGCUUCUGUACCCACUGUGCUGUUGGCUUCCUUGCUCCUGCAAUCCAACCAUAGAGUUCAUUAAAGAUGUAAUCUGAUCUGAAUCGGUGUCUGAAUAACAGAGAGCAACACACACCUGUCAUGUUGUUUCUCUUAGAACUGGUUGACCUCAUAACUGUGAUAUUAUUCUUUAUCCACAGAGAUAAUCAGUCUGGCACUGGGCCAGUGGCACAUGAGAGGCAUGUGGGAGAGAGCUCAGCAAAAACUCCUCCUGUGUGAUUCUGUGAGCCACCUGCAGCUCCUCACUGUCUACACAGAGCGAAGCCAGGCCGGGGGAGGAUCCACACAAAACCAGGAAGAAGAAAAGGAAGCAUUCAUGGGAAAAAUGAAACCAGAGCAUUCAGUUCCCACACUCCCCACACAUAUCAAAUUCAUACUGGCCUGAACUGCUGCUGUUGAAUUGUUGCCACCAUACACAUUUCAGUGGCUACUUUUAACCCACUUAGUCGUUUUGAUGCUCUUUGAAAUAAAAAAUA